AGUUUGUUCCUGGCUCAAGAAGAACGCUAGCUACAGGCUUAACACAUGCAAGUUCGAGGGGAAAACGAAGAGAGAGCUUGCUUCUUUAGGCGUCGACCGGCGCACGGGUGAGUAACGCGUAUCCAACCUGCCUCUGACCAAGGGAUAACCCGUCGAAAGUCGGCUCUAAUACCUUAUGCAGUCGUCGGAAGUCAUCUGAAGACGACGAAAAGAUUUCAUCGGUGAGGGAUGGGGAUGCGUCUGAUUAGCUUGUUGGCGGGGUAACGGCCCACCAAGGCAACGAUCAGUAGGGGUUCUGAGAGGAAGGUCCCCCACAUUGGAACUGAGACACGGUCCAAACUCCUACGGGAGGCAGCAGUGAGGAAUAUUGGUCAAUGGGCGGAAACCUGAACCAGCCAAGUAGCGUGCAGGAUGACGGCCCUAUGGGUUGUAAACUGCUUUUAUGCGGGGAUAAAGUGAGGGACGUGUCCUUCAUUUGCAGGUACCGCAUGAAUAAGGACCGGCUAAUUCCGUGCCAGCCAGCCGCGGUAAUACGGAAGGUCCGGGCGUUAUCCGGAUUUAUUGGGUUUAAAGGGAGCGUAGGCCGUGGAUUAAGCGUGUUGUGAAAUGUAGACGCUCAACGUUCUGACUUGCAGCGCGAACUGGUCCACUUUGAGUGUGCACAACGCAGGGCGGAAUUCGUCGUGUAGCGGUGAAAUGCUUAGAUAUGACGAAGAACCCCGAUUGCGAAGGCAGCUUGCGGGAGCACGACUGACGCUGAAGCUCGAAAGUGCGGGUAUCGAACAGGAUUAGAUACCCUGGUAGUCCGCACGGUAAACGAUGGAUGCCCGUUGUCAGUCUGUUUCAGUCUGGUGACCAAGCGAAAGCAUUAAGCAUCCCACCUGGGGAGUACGCCGGCAACGGUGAAACUCAAAGGAAUUGACGGGGGCCCGCACAAGCGGAGGAACAUGUGGUUUAAUUCGAUGAUACGCGAGGAACCUUACCCGGGCUUGAAUUGCCGGCGAACGAUACAGAGAUGUUGAGGCCCUUCGGGGCGCCGGUGAAGGUGCUGCAUGGUUGUCGUCAGCUCGUGCCGUGAGGUGUCGGCUUAAGUGCCAUAACGAGCGCAACCCCUAUCCUCGGUUGCCAUCGGGUAAUGCCGGGCACUCCGUGGAGACUGCCACCGUAAGGUGUGAGGAAGGUGGGGACGACGUCAAAAUCAGCUACGGCCCUUACGUCCGGGGCUACACACGUGUUACGAAUGGCCGGUACAGCGAGUUCGGUCGCAUGCAAAAUGCGGUUCCGAUUCUUGAAAAGCCGGUCCCGGUUUCGGAACCGGGGUCUGCAACCCCGACCCCGCGAAG
rnacentral:rRNA from 1 species